CACCAAUACCUCGUUAAUAAAUAUACUCUGGACGCCAAAGACACUACGACCCAAAGACAAUACACUCCUCCCCACUACCAUACUAACCCUACAUCACUGGGACAACACAUCAAAAGCAAAAUGCCACCUACAAAUUCCACCCAUGCUCACCAUUGACAACCCUAAAAGCAAUCUCAUCCUUGCUCUCACUGAACUCGUGGGCCAAAUACGGGGUAAACACGCUCGACCAAGUCCUCCACCUAAAUCGCAUUAAGCCCUUCCCAGACCUACAAAAAGAAUUCCACCUGCCCAACUCCUCCGUGUUUCUCUACAUGCAACUCAAAAGCAUCAUUCCUUCUCAUGUCUCACACAACACUGUAGCUGACAGCUCCGACUUACCAGACCUAGAAGCUCUAUACGACAGAUGCUGGCAGGCCCCAACCAAACCCAAAUCCCUUACCUCAUGCUACAAAACUAUUUUACGAUUAUCACCACCUCAACCCCCAACAUUUGUGAAACAGUGGCUGUCAGAAUGCGAUCUAUUGACAUCCGAUACAGAAAUCCUAGCUUCUCUGAAGGGGCUCACACGAUGCUACUCCCACAUUGAAGCACACAAAACUGGUAUACAGGUGGUACCUCACACCCCAGAGGCUCCAUAAAAUGUAUAAAACGGUUCCCCCUCACUGCUGGAGGUGCGGGAUAGGCAAUGGCACAAUAACUCACAUUUGGUGGUCGUGUCUACGCAUACGCCCACUAUGGAAAGACGCACAAAACAUAAUGCAAACCAUUGGCAACACCACACCAACCCUUGAUAUACACACAGGCCUAUUUUUAAUGUACCCCAAACCCACGCCAAAGCAUAUAAAAAGCGUCAUGGCAAUCAUGGCAUUAGCGGUGAGAAAUCUCAUAGCAAACCAUUAAACUUCCACAGUGCCCCUCCAAACCCAACCGAUUAGCAAAAAUACAUCAAUACUAUAUCCAUGAACGCUUAUCUACCCAUACAGCAGCACUCAGGACAAAUCUCCUAAUCUCAAGGGCAGCAUACUGUGACAAACCCCGAUCAAGGCAGAACCCUAAAGGGCCCAACACCUCCAAAAUCCAACUCAGAACCAGAAACUAUGUAAAACCGGGCACAGCAUUUGAAGAAGACGAGAUCAUAUCCAGAUAUCACACAAUGCUAGACACUUGCAAAGGUAACACAAAAAACGUGCAUAGCAAUAAGAUAUAGGAGGAGAUACGGCAUACACACUACACAAUGUACUACAAUUGUCAAGCAAAUGAGUAAAGACCCAUGUAUAAUGUAUCCCAUGUACCGUAUCUCAUGUAUUGUAUACUGUGUAUUACUUAUGCAACAUCAAGUUGUAUCACACACUAAGCAACAUCAUUGACAACUUUGUUACCCCCUACACCAUCCCCCCC